CGCGGCCUAUCAGCUUGUUGGUGAGGUAACGGCUCACCAAGGCAUCGACGGGUAGCUGGUCUGAGAGGACGAUCAGCCACACUGGGACUGAGACACGGCCCAGACUCCUACGGGAGGCAGCAGUAGGGAAUCUUGCGCAAUGGGCGAAAGCCUGACGCAGCAACGCCGCGUGGGGGAUGAAUGCCUUCGGGUUGUAAACCCCUUUCAGCAGGGACGAAAAUGACGGUACCUGCAGAAGAAGCUCCGGCCAACUACGUGCCAGCAGCCGCGGUAAUACGUAGGGAGCGAGCGUUGUCCGGAAUUAUUGGGCGUAAAGAGCUCGUAGGCGGUUCAGUAAGUCGGGUGUGAAAACUCAAGGCUCAACCUUGAGACGCCACUCGAUACUGCUGUGACUUGAGUCCGGUAGAGGAGUGUGGAAUUCCUGGUGUAGCGGUGAAAUGCGCAGAUAUUAGGAGGAACACCAGCGGCGAAGGCGGCACUCUGGGCCGGUACUGACGCUGAGGAGCGAAAGCAUGGGGAGCAAACAGGAUUAGAUACCCUGGUAGUCCAUGCCGUAAACGUUGGGCACUAGGUAUGGGAUCAUAUCAACGGAUUCCGUGCCGUAGCUAACGCAUUAAGUGCCCCGCCUGGGGAGUACGG
rnacentral:rRNA from 1 species